UAGGGAAUCUUCGGCAAUGGGGGGAACCCUGACCGAGCAACGCCGCGGGGGUGAGGAAGGUUUUCGGAUCGUAAAGCUCGGUUUUUAGGGAGGAAGGAGUGGGAGAAUGGAAGGUUAAUACUUUGAGGGUACUUAACCAGAAGGGGACGGCUAAUUACGUGCCAGCAGCCGCGGUAAUACGUAGGUCCCGAGCGUUGUCCGGAUUUAUUGGGCGUAAAGCGAGCGCAGGCGGUUAGAUAAGUCUGAAGUUAAAGGCAGUGGCUCAACCAUUGUAGGCUUUGGAAACUGUUUAACUUGAGUGCAGAAGGGGAGAGUGGAAUUCCAUGUGUAGCGGUGAAAUGCGUAGAUAUAUGGAGGAACACCGGUGGCGAAAGCGGCUCUCUGGUCUGUAACUGACGCUGAGGCUCGAAAGCGUGGGGAGCGAACAGG
rnacentral:rRNA from 1 species